rnacentral:rRNA from 1 species
AUUGAACGCUGGCGGCAUGCCUUACACAUGCAAGUCGAACGGUAGCGGGCCUUCGGGUGCCGACGAGUGGCGAACGGGUGAGUAAUACAUCGGAACGUGCCCGAUCGUGGGGGAUAACGAGGCGAAAGCUUUGCUAAUACCGCAUACGAUCUACGGAUGAAAGCAGGGGACCGCAAGGCCUUGCGCGGACGGAGCGGCCGAUGGCAGAUUAGGUAGUUGGUGGGAUAAAAGCUUACCAAGCCGACGAUCUGUAGCUGGUCUGAGAGGAUGAUCAGCCACACUGGGACUGAGACACGGCCCAGACUCCUACGGGAGGCAGCAGUGGGGAAUUUUGGACAAUGGGCGCAAGCCUGAUCCAGCCAUGCCGCGUGCAGGAUGAGGGCCUUCGGGUUGUAAACUGCUUUUGUACGGAACGAAAAGCCUUCUUUUAAUACAGGAGGGUCAUGACGGUACCGUAAGAAUAGGCACCGGCUAACUACGUG